CAUCAACAACAGCAAGGUCUCGAAGUGCCCACGCAGUCUGCCGUUUGUAGAAAUCUCCCUUGUCAGAUUUUUUCACUUUUACCACAUUUACUUGCACCGGUCGUUCUGUUGUCACUGUGGCACACAAAAAACAGUUUCUCUUCUUUUUGCCUGCUUUGCAUACAUUUACAAUGCUCAGUAAGCGUUCAUCAUUGGGAGUGAAAAUAUCCCUCUGUAAAGCAUGCUUGAUUGCAGUCAUUUUCUCUCAACGCAGCACCGCAGCCGACCGGGACGGGCGUGGCGACGGGACGACACCGCUCCGCGCUGCCCGCAGCAGACCCGGCCUCGCCUU
rnacentral:lncRNA from 1 species